rnacentral:lncRNA from 14 species
AUGGCAGGUGCCAGCACUGAGCUCUUGCUGCAGCCAGCUCUGAUGUGUCCCCUCCUGUUCCCACAGGCGCCGGCGUUCCCGGUCGUCGGUGUGGGUGGCGUCCCCGGCCUCGUGCCCGGAGUCGGAGGUGUCCCCGGGGUGGUGCCCGGUGUCGGAGCUGUCCCCGGGGUGGCAGGGGUGCCGUCGGGCAGCAGCAGCAGCAAAGGCAGCUAAGUACGGCGCCGGCGUUCCCGGUGUCGGUGUGGGUGGCGUCCCCGGCCUCGUGCCCGGUGUCGGAGCUGUCCCCGGGGUGGUGCCCGGAGUCGGAGCUGUCCCCGGGGUGGUGCCCGGAGUCGGAGCUGUCCCCGGGGUGGCAGGGGUGCCGUCGGCAGCAGCAGCAGCAAAGGCAGCUAAGUACGGCGCCGGUGUUCCCGGUGUCGGUGUGGGUGGCGUCCCCGGCCUCGUGCCCGGAGUCGGAGGUGUCCCUGGGGUGGUGCCCGGAGUCGGAGCUGUCCCCGGGGUGGUGCCCGGUGUCGGAGCUGUCCCCGGGGUGGCAGGGGUGCCGUCGGCAGCAGCAGCAGCAAAGGCAGCUAAGUACGGAGCUGGCGUUCCUGGCAUCGCUGGCAUUCCUGGUGUUCCUGGCGUUCCUGGUGUUCCUGGAGUUCCCGGUGUCCCUGGUGUUCCAGGUGUUCCUGGUGUGCCUGGGGUUCCUGGUGCUGUUCCUGGUGUUGGAGUUGGUGGCCCGGCAGCAGCGGCCGCAGCCAAGGCUGCAGCGAAAGCAGCGGCGAUCGGAGCAGGACGUGUUCCUGGUGUUGGUGUUCCCGGUGUUGGCGUUCCAGGUGUUGGUGUUCCCGGUGUUGGCGUUCCCGGUGUUGGCGUGCCUGGAGUGGGUGUGCCAGGUGUUGGCGUGCCCGGUCUGGUGCCUGGGGUCGGCGUUCCAGGUGAGAUGGUGCCCAAGGGAUGCUCGGAUGUCCCCAGCAGUGCUGGUGGGACGCGUUCCUGAUC